UACGGAGGGUGCAAGCGUUGUUCGGAAUCACUGGGCGUAAAGGGCGUGUAGGCGGUCCGCUAAGUCUGAUGUGAAAGCCCGGGGCUCACCCCCGGAAGGGCAUUGGAAACUGGCGGACUCGAGUCUCGGAGAGGAAGGUGGAAUUCCUGGUGUAGCGGUGAAAUGCGUAGAUAUCAGGAGGAAUACCGGUGGCGAAGGCGGCCUUCUGGACGAUGACUGACGCUGAGACGCGAAAGCGUGGGGAGCAAACCGG
rnacentral:rRNA from 1 species